rnacentral:lncRNA from 1 species
AUGCUUCCAUUUCCCAGCUCUCUACUUGCAGAAAAUUUCACUCCAUCUUUUGCACAGGAUAUUACAGCAGCAUCUCCAAUAAGGCUGAGGUCUCAACAUAUACAUGCAGAUUCACUAUAUUCUUCACUGGCAUAUUUUAGCAUUUUGGACAUGCUGGUGAGAUUUAGGACCAAAGCCAGGUCGCAGUCACAGCCCCCGGAGCACAGGGUGAGUGCGGAAGAGGAAGUGGGGCUAGAGUUUAGGAAAGCAGUGGAGUGUUCAUGGUUAAAGGAUGUGGCUCUGAAACCAGAACUGGCUUUCCAGUCCCACCUCUGCGUCUCCUAACUGUGUGAUCCAGGGCAACUGUGGGUGUGUCUGAGGCUCGGACUCAAGGCUACAGCUCUGAAGCGGGUACCAUAAAACCCCCUGGGGUGGGGUGGGGCUCGGGUCCCUGAGACUUUCUGCAGACCGAGCUCUCAGCCCCACAUCGCCCCUGCUUUACGGCUGAUGCAGUUCCUCCACUGGCCGCUCCCGGACAGACCACCUACCCCUUCUAGCUGGACUCAUUCCCGGGGGAGAUGGAAGUCUCACACUGGCUAAGCAGGGCUUUGGGCAGCACCGCGCACAGGGCCACCCGGUUUGUUCUUUCUUGAUGGUAAUGACCCCAAAGGGAAGAACUAGGACAAGUGGAUGGAAGCUACCUGGAGGCGGAUGCGUGCUCAGCGAGGGAAAGCACUUCUCGACAGGCAUCCCCCGACGCGAGGAACCAGUGAGCUCACUGUCCCCCGAGAAACCCAACCUGGGGCUGCGCGACUGUUGGCUGGGAGGCUGUGGCGUGGCAAGCCUACCUAUGGAUUCAUAAGGCCCGCUGCUCCGAGUCUCUCUGCCAUUAAUGAACUGUUUGUCCACUUACUAGUACUUCAUUAGCGGUCCUUCAAUUGGCAAACUACUGGUUGUACCAUCUUAGAGGCUCCGGUCUAUUCUGGUUGCUCGCUGAAGAAAAUGCCCCCUGGAAGAAUCCUGGAGGCAGGAGUUGGUGGAGAAUCAGACAGAACACUUACGACUCAUCCUCCUGAGGCUUCCCGUCCACAGAGUGAAUUCUUUGCGCAGUUCAUGAUGUGUGUGUGUGUGUGUGUCCAUGCACGUGGGUGUAUAGAGUAGAGGUCACCUCAUUAAUGCACUAUUGACGGCAAUUAUGUCGUUUCAUUUUCCCUGCAUGCUCAAGGUUUUUCCCCCCCUUCAGCUCUGCCCAGCUGUAUUUUAACCCAGCCAGAUCCAACAUUGUCUUUUCAGAAUCUUAGCAGCAGUAUCAUGACAGCUGUUAACUUCUGGCUCUGGGAUGUGCUGGAGUUGAAUUUUUUGUUCGUUGCUUUCUCUCUUUCAGUGCUGGAAAAGGAUACUUUAAAAAGAAACACACAUUUUUUUAACACAUGAGUACUGUCGGGUUCUUCCUAUACAAACCUUUACUCAUAACUCCUGUCAAAUGCUGGGCCAUCAGCUACUCGACCAAAGGAGAAAUAUAUUUAGUCAGCCAAAAAAGAUUUUCCUUGAGCAGAGUUGGGGAAUAUAAACCCAUCGUAAUGAUACUUCCUGAAGCAAGUGUCCAGCUGUUACAUCAUUUGUUCUUCACGACAGCCCUGAGAGGUGGGUUGAGUGGGCAGCAAGGAUUCUCCCCAUUCUACAGGUUAGCAAACUGAGGGACAGAGAAGUGAAACCACACUUCUAGGAUAUGAUAAAACAGGAGCUAGCGUCAUAGGCUGCAGAGGCCCAAUACAGGGAAGAUUUCCCCAUCACCACAUUGAUUGUUUCAUCAGAUUUGUUCUUGUUUGUUUGUUUGCUUGUUUUUGAUAGGCAGAGUGGACAGUGAGAGAGAGAGAGAGACAGAGAGAAAGGUCUUCCUUUGCUGUUGGUUCACCCUUCAAUGGCUGCUGUGGCCAGCGCGCUGUAGCUGGUGCACCGCGCUGAUCCGAAGGCAGGAGCCAGGUGCUUCUCCUGGUCUCCCGUGGGGUGCAGGGCCCAAGCACCUGGGCCAUCCUCCACUGCACUCCCUGGCCACAGCAGAGAGCUGGCCUGGAAGAGGGGCAACCGGGACAGAAUCUGGCGCCCUGACUGGGACUAGAACCUGGUGUGCCGGCGCCGCAGGCGUAAGAUUAGCCAAGUGAGCCACAGCGCCAGCCCAGAUUUGUUUUUAAAGAUUUAUUUGUUGGGACCAGCGCUGUGGCAUAGCAGAUAAGGCCGCCGUCUGCAGUGCUGGCAUCCCAUGUGGAUGCCAGUUGGAGUCUCAGCUGCUCCUCUUCUGUUCCAGCUCUCUGCUAUGCCUGGGAAAGCAGCAGAGGAUGGCCCAAGUCCUUGGGCCCCUGCACCCACAUGAGAGACCUGGAGGAGGCUCCAAGCUCCUGGCUCUGGAUGGGCACAGCUCCAGCUGCUGUGGCCAUUUGGGGAGUGAGCCAGUGGAUGGAGGACUUCUCUCUCUCUCUCUCUCUCUCUCUCUCUCUCUCUCUCUCUCUUUCUCUCUCUCCCUCUGCCUCUCUGUAACUGUACCUUUCAGAUAAAUAAAUAAAUCUUUUAUAAAAGAUGCA